rnacentral:rRNA from 1 species
GAUGAACGCUGGCGGCGUGCCUAAUACAUGCAAGUCGAGCGAAUGGAUUAAGAGCUUGCUCUUAUGAAGUUAGCGGCGGGCGGGUGAGUAACACGUGGGUAACCUGCCCAUAAGACUGGGAUAACUCCGGGAAACCGGGGCUAAUACCGGAUAACAUUUUGCACCGCAUGGUUCGAAAUCGAAAGGCGGCUUCGGCUGUCACUUAUGGAUGGACCCGCGUCGCAUUAGCUAGUUGGUGAGGUAACGGCUCACCAAGGCAACGAUGCGUAACCGACCUGAGAGGGUGAUCGGCCACACUGGGAAUGAGACACGGCCCAGACUCCUACGGGAGGCAGCAGUAGGGAAUCUUCCGCAAUGGACGAAAGUCUGACGGAGCAACGCCGCGUGAGUGAUGAAGGCUUUCGGGUCGUAAAACUCUGUUGUUAGGGAAGAACAAGUGCUAGUUGAAUAAGCUGGCACCUUGACGGUACCUAACCAGAAAGCCACGGCUAACUACGUGCCAGCCGCCGCCGUAA